AUUGAACGCUGGCGGCAGGCUUAACACAUGCAAGUCGAGCGGGGAAGGGUAGCUUGCUACCUGACCUAGCGGCGGACGGGUGAGUAAUGCUUAGGAAUCUGCCUAUUAGUGGGGGACAACAUUCCGAAAGGAAUGCUAAUACCGCAUACGCCCUACGGGGGAAAGCAGGGGAUCUUCGGACCUUGCGCUAAUAGAUGAGCCUAAGUCAGAUUAGCUAGUUGGUGGGGUAAAGGCCUACCAAGGCGACGAUCUGUAGCGGGUCUGAGAGGAUGAUCCGCCACACUGGGACUGAGACACGGCCCAGACUCCUACGGGAGGCAGCAGUGGGGAAUAUUGGACGAUGGGCGAAAGCCUGAUCCAGCCAUGCCGCGUGUGUGAAGAAGGCCUUUUGGUUGUAAAGCACUUUAAGCGAGGAGGAGGCUACCGAGAUUAAUACUCUUGGAUAGUGGACGUUACUCGCAGAAUAAGCACCGGCUAACUCUGUGCCAGCCGCCGCCGUAACAC
rnacentral:rRNA from 1 species